GACGAACGCUGGCGGCGUGCCUAAUACAUGCAAGUAGAACGCUGAAGGAGGAGCUUGCUUCUCUGGAUGAGUUGCGAACGGGUGAGUAACGCGUAGGUAACCUGCCUGGUAGCGGGGGAUAACUAUUGGAAACGAUAGCUAAUACCGCAUAAUAGUAGAUGUUGCAUGACAUUUGCUUAAAAGGUGCAAUUGCAUCACUACCAGAUGGACCUGCGUUGUAUUAGCUAGUUGGUGGGGUAACGGCUCACCAAGGCGACGAUACAUAGCCGACCUGAGAGGGUGAUCGGCCACACUGGGACUGAGACACGGCCCAGACUCCUACGGGAGGCAGCAGUAGGGAAUCUUCGGCAAUGGACGGAAGUCUGACCGAGCAACGCCGCGUGAGUGAAGAAGGUUUUCGGAUCGUAAAGCUCUGUUGUAAGAGAAGAAAGAGUGUGAGAGUGGAAAGUUCACACUGUGACGGUAUCUUACCAGAAAGGGACGGCUAACUACGUG
rnacentral:rRNA from 1 species